rnacentral:rRNA from 1 species
UGUCCUAGAUGAAGAUGCAGAGAUAACAUAAAAGUUGCAAUGGCUGUCACAAGUGUUUGGGACUGGUCCUCGACGGCGAUGUUAGCCCACAGGUUAUGUCCCUACUCCCUCUCUGUGUGUACUUGUGUGUGUGUGUGGUAUUCAUUGACAAUCUCCUUCCAGCAUCUCGGGAAGGAGUGGUAUAAUUGUGCUUCCAGGGCAAAAUGCCGGAGAGACAAUGCCGCUCGGACUGCUCUCGGUGCAGAGGACUUCCAUGGGGGCUAAAGGAGGUUCCACCAAACCAGGGCCAAAAUUGAUCUCCAAGAUUUCGCUCUUUCCUUUCCCAUGGAAGAAUUUGUUCGCUGCCACCAGCUAACUAGGGAAUCGUCAUGCGCUGCCGCCAUAGCCGGGCUCAUGUUCAGCUUGCAGAGUGUCAGGUGCCAAGCUUCCUUCGCAAAAGAGCAAGAAGUAAGCAGGUGGGCAGCAGUUUCAGGCUCUUGUAGACAUAGCAGACACUGUGGAUUAUGGGGCCACCCUCGCUUAGCAAGGUUAUCCGCCGUUAGACAUCGAUCUUGAGCAGCCAGCCAGACGAAGAACUGACAUUUGGGAGGUGCAUCCGAGCUCCAGGCCAGCUUCGCAUACGGUGGCUUAAUGUUGGCAGUAAGAGUGGCAGCGUACGCCGAGCUGGAGGAAAACUGACCGUCGUUUGCCCAUCUCCAGGGUCGCACGGAGUUUCAUCGGCCGAAAUUCUCAUGCUGACCGUACAAGUUCGCCCCUGUCCCCCACCUUCUCCUCAUCAUCGGCCAUAGUGGAGGGCUGGAGAGCAGGCGGGCGGAGCGGCAACUACUUUGAAAGAUGGUGACGACAUCAGUACAUAAGCAUUCUAGAAGAGAUUGGUAAUCUGAAGCUGCUAAAAGUUCUUCAACUUCCCACAUGCAAGGUCACGGGCACCGACUCUUGGUCAAUUGGUGGUCUUAUUAUAGCUCAGACAUUUUCCCAUUGCACCCUUCCUAUAUGGAUUUUUUUGUCUAUCUUGCUUUUCUUUUGGAGUAAGAAUUAAACCAAUUUUGGUGGAAUUCUUGCUAAAUAUUAGUUUUAGUGAUGGGUAUUGGUUUGACCCUAGCUAAUGUGGAGGUUUGGCGUGUUUGAUGACAUAUUGGCAUGCAAUGGGAAAAGCUUCAGAUCGGUUCUGCUAGAAGUUUCAAUGGCAUGCACAACUCUUUUUCAUACUGGCCUUUUACAGUCAGGCGUGCUUUGCAAAGUUGUUUGUUCUUUUAGUUGAAUGAUCUUCGUGUCCUAAGACUGAAACCUUCUGAUAGCAUGCAAUAUGCUAAUAAAAAGAAAACAUACAUGGAGCGUUCUGGCUCCCUUUAAUGUUAUUAUUAUAUUGUAGUAUCAGUAUAUAGGACUAGCCACUUCACUAUAGGAGCCAAGUUAUUCAACUUCUUUUUUCUUUCCUGUACUUCAUAUAGUUUUUUCAUAUUGUGGUUGUUAAUAAAUACAUCCCCUGUCUUACCUUGGCACUGCUUUCC